rnacentral:rRNA from 1 species
AGACGGGGGGGGCGAGCGUUGUUCGGAAUUACUGGGCGUAAAGGGCGCGCAGGCGGCCUGGGAAGUUUUGGGUGAAAGCCCCCGGCUCAACCGGGGAAUGGCCUGAGAAACCACUGGGCUGGAGUGCUGGAGGGGGAAGCGGAAUUCCCGGUGGAGCGGUGAAAUGCGUAGAUAUCGGGAGGAACACCAGAGGCGAAGGCGGCUUCCUGGACAGACACUGACGCUGAGGCGCGAAAGCUAGGGGAGCAAACAGGAUUAGAAACCCCAGUAGUCC